rnacentral:rRNA from 1 species
AUGCACGCUGGCGGCGUGCCUCAUACCUGCAAGUCGCGCGCACAGACGAGGAGCUUGCUCCUCUGACGUUAGCGGCGGACGGGUGAGUAACACGUGGAUAACCUACCUAUAAGACUGGGAUAACUUCGGGAAACCGGAGCUAAUACCGGAUAAUAUAUUGAACCGCAUGGUUCAAUAGUGAAAGACGGUUUUGCUGUCACUUAUAGAUGGAUCCGCGCCGCAUUAGCUAGUUGGUAAGGUAACGGCUUACCAAGGCGACGAUGCGUAGCCGACCUGAGAGGGUGAUCGGCCACACUGGAACUGAGACACGGUCCAGACUCCUACGGGAGGCAGCAGUAGGGAAUCUUCCGCAAUGGGCGAAAGCCUGACGGAGCAACGCCGCGUGAGUGAUGAAGGUCUUCGGAUCGUAAAACUCUGUUAUUAGGGAAGAACAAAUGUGUAAGUAACUAUGCACGUCUUGACGGUACCUAAUCAGAAAGCCACGGCUAACUACGUG